rnacentral:rRNA from 1 species
UACGGAGGGUGCAAGCGUUAUCCGGAAUCACUGGGCGUAAAGCGUGCGUAGGUGGCGUGGUAAGUGUGAUGUUAAAUCGUGUGGCUCAACCAUAUCGAUGUGUCGCAUACUGGCAUGCUAGAGGACAGCAGAGGCAAGUGGAAUUUGUAGUGUAGCAGUGAAAUGCGUAGAUAUUACAAGGAACACCAAUGGCGAAGGCAGCUUGCUGGGCUACUCCUGACACUGAGGUACGAAAGCGUGGGGAGCGAACAGG